CACGUAGGGUGCGAGCGUUGUCCGGAAUUAUUGGGCGUAAAGAGCUCGUAGGUGGCUUAGUAAGUCGGGUGUGAAACCUCCAGGCUCAACCUGGAGACGCCACCCGAUACUGCUAUAGCUUGAGUCCGGUAGGGGAGCGUGGAAUUCCUGGUGUAGCGGUGAAAUGCGCAGAUAUCAGGAGGAACACCAGCGGCGAAGGCGGCGCUCUGGGCCGGAACUGACGCUGAGGAGCGAAAGCGUGGGUAGCAAACAGG
rnacentral:rRNA from 1 species